UACGGGAGGCAGCAGGGGGAAUAUUGCACAAUGGGCGCAAGCCUGAUGCAGCCAUGCCGCGUGUAUGAAGAAGGCCUUCGGGUUGUAAAGUACUUUCAGUCGUGAGGAAGGUGUUAAGGUUAAUAACCUUAGCAAUUGACGUUAGCGACAGAAGAAGCACCGGCUAACUCCGUGCCAGCAGCCGCGGUAAUACGGAGGGUGCGAGCGUUAAUCGGAAUUACUGGGCGUAAAGGGCACGCAGGCGGUUAAUUAAGUUGGAUGUGAAAUCCCCGGGCUUAACCUGGGAAUGGCAUUCAAGACUGGUUAGCUAGAGUCUUGUAGAGGGGGUAGAAUUCCAUGUGUAGCGGUGAAAUGCGUAGAGAUGUGGAGGAAUACCGGUGGCGAAGGCGGCCCCUGGACAAAGACUGACGCUCAUGUGCGAAAGCGUGGGGAGCAAAC
rnacentral:rRNA from 1 species